rnacentral:rRNA from 1 species
UACGAAGGGGGCUAGCGUUGCUCGGAAUCACUGGGCGUAAAGCGCACGUAGGCGGAUUGCUAAGUCAGGGGUGAAAUCCUGGAGCUCAACUCCAGAACUGCCUUUGAUACUGGCGAUCUUGAGUCCGGGAGAGGUGAGUGGAACUGCGAGUGUAGAGGUGAAAUUCGUAGAUAUUCGCAAGAACACCAGUGGCGAAGGCGGCUCACUGGCCCGGUACUGACGCUGAGGUGCGAAAGCGGUGGGAGCAAACAGG